rnacentral:rRNA from 1 species
UAGAUCUCAAAUCAGGUAGGACUACCCGCUGAACUUAAGCA